rnacentral:rRNA from 1 species
GAUUAACGCUGGCGGCGUGCAUAACACAUGCAAGUCGAACGAUGAAACUUAACUGAUUUCUUCGGAAUGAUUUUAAGUGGAUUAGUGGCGGACGGGUGAGUAACGCGUGAGUAACCUGCCUUGGAGAAGGGGAUAGCCUUUGGAAACGAAGAAUAAUACCCUAUGAUAUGAUAAUAUCUCAUGAUAUUAUCAUCAAAGAUUUAUCGCUCUAAGAUGGACUUGCGUCUGAUUAGUUAGUUGGUGAGGUAACAGCUCACCAAGGCAGCGAUCAGUAGCCGGCUUGAGAGAGUGUACGGCCACAUUGGGACUGAGACACGGCCCAGACUCCUACGGGAGGCAGCAGUGGGGAAUUUUGCACAAUGGGGGAAAACCUGAUGCAGCGACGCCGCGUGAUUUAGAAGGCCUUCGGGUUGUAAAAAUCUUUUGUAUGGGAAGAAAAUGACAGUACCAUACGAAUAAGGACCGGCUAAUUACGUG